ACGCUCGACACCUACGGGAGCAGCAGUGGGGAAUAUUGCACAAUGGGGGAAACCCUGAUGCAGCGACGCCGCGUGGAGGAAGAAGGUCUUCGGAUUGUAAACUCCUGUUGUUGGGAAAAAGAGGAUGGUACCCAACAAGGAAGUGACGGCUAACUACGUGUCAGCAGCCGCGGUAAUCUGAGCGGGCUGGCAAGGC
rnacentral:rRNA from 1 species